rnacentral:piRNA from 5 species
UCCUCGUUAGUAUAGUGGUUAGUAUCCCCGCU